rnacentral:pre_miRNA from 1 species
GAGCUGACCCUAUGGAGCAGGACUUGCUUCAGUGGGACUUUGGUGCUCACUGAGUCCGCACCUUGAGUAUGUCACU